UACGAAGGGGGCUAGCGUUGCUCGGAAUCACUGGGCGUAAAGCGCACGUAGGCGGGUUGUUAAGUCGGGGGUGAAAUCCUGGAGCUCAACUCCUGAACUGCCUUCGAUACUGGCGACCUUGAGUCCGGGAGAGGUGAGUGGAACUCCGAGUGUAGAGGUGAAAUUCGUAGAUAUUCGGAAGAACACCAGUGGCGAAGGCGGCUCACUGGCCCGGUACUGACGCUGAGGUGCGAAAGCGUGGGGAGCAAACAGG
rnacentral:rRNA from 1 species